rnacentral:lncRNA from 1 species
UGGGUGACAGAGUGAGACCCCAUCUCUAAAAAGUAAAAUAAAUAAAAAUAAAUAAAGAUCCUUAACAAACAAAAACAGACUACUCACAGAGAAAAAAUAGACCAUUAGUGGACUUCUCAUCUACAACACCAGAGACUAGAAAUUUAUGAAGCAAGGUUUAUACAUUCUGAGGUGAAAGCACUGUGAUUAUGACCUCAGAAUUUUACACCUAGCUAAACUUUCCCUCAUAUGUGACAGCAAAAGAAGGACAUACAAGUAAAGACACUUAAGGUCUCAGAAAGUAAACUCUGGAAUAAUUUUUUUAAUUACUUGAUGGAGUAUUCCUGCCAAAUGGAAAAUUAAUCACCUUAAAUAAUUCAAGAAAGGAGAAGAAAAGCUAUAGGAAAAAUUAUCAUGAGCAAUGAAACCAAUUAAAGUAUAAGGUAUGGCUAACAAGUGCGUUGUAAUAUGACCAUGAAGCUUAAUACCUGUUCAGAAAGGAUGUUUACAAUAGAAAAAAAAUUAAUAAUUUGGUAGUAAUCUGGAACUAAAAGUUCACAUUAUUUCAACUAAAUCUGAAAGUGAGAAGGAAGAGGGAAGAAGAAAAACUAUAAAAGUGUGCUAAAUGUUUUAUUUUCUCUGAAAGAAUAGUUAUAUUCUACUCUUUGUGGUGAUAGAUGAGAUAGGUUCUUGGGAUUACAAGCGUGAGCCACUGCGCCUGGCCCACUUUUUUUCUUUUUUUAAGACAGAGUCUCAUUGUGUCACCCAGGCUGGAGUGCAGUGGCGUGAUCAUGGCUCACUGCAUCCUUGAACUGCCAGGCUCAGGUGAUCCUCUCUGAGGAAUACCUCCACCUCCCGAAUAGCUGGGACAAGAGGCAUGUGCCACCAUGUCCAGCUAAUUUUGUAUUUUUUUGUAGAGACGGGGUUUCACCAUAUUGCCCAGGCUGGCCUCAAACUCCUGGGCUCAAAAGAUCCACCAGCCUUGGCCUCCCAAAGUGUUGGGAUUACAGGUGGAAGCCACCACAUCUGGCCUAUAUAUAUGUUUUGAUGGGGAAGUUACCACUCUGUAAUUAUCAU